rnacentral:rRNA from 1 species
AUGGUUCAAAAAGGAAAAAGAGCAACAACCUCUAGAGGAAAACAAACAUCAGAACAACCUGCAAAUGAAGAAUCAUCCACAUCGACGUCACACAUAGAAAAUCCGGUCUUUGCCCAUAACCGAACUAUAUUUCAACCCUUAAACCUUGGAGGUCCCCAUCAUUCUUGCAAACACUGUGGUGCUCUGUUUUGGUAUGAAGAGCGUCUACGCAGAGAAAGACACACUCCAGAUCCAACAUAUAAUUUGUGUUGCAAGGGAGGAAAAGUUUACCUGCAGCCAUAUGAUCCUCCUGCUCAACCUCUUGGAUUUACUCACAUCCCAGGACAGAACGCUCUCCAGUCACUUCUUUAA